UGGGGAAUAUUGCGCAAUGGGCGAAAGCCUGACGCAGCAACGCCGUGUGAGCGAUGAAGGCCCUCGGGUCGUAAAGCUCUGUCAGAAGGGAACAUGGGAGUGGUGAUUAAUACUCAUCGCUUUUGAGCGUACCUUCAAAGGAAGCACCGGCUAACUCUGUGCCAGCAGCCGCGGUAAUACAGAGGGUGCAAGCGUUGUUCGGAAUCAUUGGGCGUAAAGCGCGCGUAGGCGGUUACGUAAGUCUGAUGUGAAAGCCCGGGGCUUAACCUCGGAAGUGCAUCGGAAACUGCGUGACUUGAGUCUCGGAGAGGGUGGUGGAAUUCCUGGUGUAGAGGUGAAAUUCGUAGAUAUCAGGAGGAACAUCGGUGGCGAAGGCGACCACCUGGACGAUGACUGACGCUGAGGUGCGAAAGCGUGGGUAGCAAACAGG
rnacentral:rRNA from 1 species